UUUGUGUAUGGUAGAAUCUUACUUCUCUGGUAUCAUAAUAAGUUUCAGUGACAGUACUUACUAUCAUAUAAGUUUCGUACAUCGUUAUUAACAUUUCAAAUUUAAAGAAUUUUUUUAGCCGCAUUUUCAUUUAGUUUUUUAACAAUCUUCUAUUUUUCUUGAGCUUUCGAUAAAUAUUCACGUGCCAAACGACGAUCACCAUUGAGAAAAGAGGUAUUUGCCUUUUCAGAAAUAGGAGAAGCUAUUUUGUGUAAAACAAAAAAAUUAAUCAAAUAAAUAAGUAUAGAAUAUUCUUAUAUAAUAAAUGCGCUAUCGAAUAUCAAUCAUUUUAGAAUAUAAUAAAACAAAACUAUACUUGGAUAUUUUGAUUGUUUUUCUACUAUAUAUUGCAUAAGGAUUGUCAUCCUCUUUAUAUUCAGGUUCAAUGGAAAUUGGAUAUUUGACUAUGUAUUUCCUUUUUCUUUUAUCUACUUUUAAGCAAAAAUCUCCAUCAUUUUUCCCGAGUAAUUUUUUCACUUGUUUAUCAUAUUGAUAUGAACUUGUGCUUUACUUUUCGGGAUCAAUAUGAUCCAUGUUUUCCAAAAUGUUAGAAGCCUGAUCUUUAUCAUCGUCUGUAGCUAUUAAGAUUUCCUGGAUGACCUUGUCACUAGAUCAAAUAUAAUUUUUCUUCAAAUAUUCAAAAGACGAGAUGGUAUUUAGAUCCAAAUAAUUUCACUACUCUUAUUUCUGCUGCUUCGAAAUUUUUAUGUAGUUUCUUUUUGUUGUUGAAUAGAAGCCAUGCGUUCAAAAGUGACAGAAUAUUUGUCUCUAUCAUUAUUUUUAUCUAUAAAUAUAUCUUGAAUUGCACCUUCAGUAGCCCAGAUAUGGUUUUGUUCAAACACUCAAGGGAUUAUUUGGUAUUUGGUUUCAAUUUAUUUUCACUGUUAUUAUUUUUUCUGCCUUGACAUUUUGAUGUAGUUUUUUUUUGAAGUUCAGUAAGAACCAUUGUUUCCAAGAAGAGAGCCAACAGAUGGAUUUGGCUGAAAAGGAUCUAGCCAAAUAGUUUGUUGUUCUUCCUUUUUAUUAUUUUGUGUAGAAAAAAAAAUUGUUGUCACCCCUUAUGUUUCAGUGACAAUACUUACUAUUAGAUAUGUUUCGUACAUCGUUAUUAACGUUUCGAAUUUAAAAAAAUUUUUAGCCGCAUUUUCAUUUAGUUUUUUAACAAUCUUCUAUUUUUCUUGAGCUUUCGAUGAAUAUUAUUCACGAGCCAAACGACGAUCACCAUUGAGAAAAGAGGGAUUUGCUUUUUCAGAAAGAGGAGAAGCUACUUUGUGUAAAC
rnacentral:lncRNA from 1 species